UAAGUUAUUAAGGGCGCACGGUGGAUGCCUUGGCACUAGAAGCCGAUGAAGGACGUUACUAACGACGAUAUGCUUUGGGGAGCUGUAAGUAAGCUUUGAUCCAGAGAUUUCCGAAUGGGGAAACCCAGCAUGAGUUAUGUCAUGUUAUCGAUAUGUGAAUACAUAGCAUAUCAGAAGGCACACCCGGAGAACUGAAACAUCUUAGUACCCGGAGGAAGAGAAAGAAAAUUCGAUUCCCUUAGUAGCGGCGAGCGAAACGGGAAGAGCCCAAACCAACAAGCUUGCUUGUUGGGGUUGUAGGACACUCUAUACGGAGUUACAAAGGACGACAUUAGACGAAUCAUCUGGAAAGAUGAAUCAAAGAAGGUAAUAAUCCUGUAGUCGAAAAUGUUGUCUCUCUUGAGUGGAUCCUGAGUACGACGGAGCACGUGAAAUUCCGUCGGAAUCUGGGAGGACCAUCUCCUAAGGCUAAAUACUCUCUAGUGACCGAUAGUGAACCAGUACCGUGAGGGAAAGGUGAAAAGCACCCCGGAAGGGGAGUGAAAUAGAACCUGAAACCGUGUGCUUACAAGUAGUCAGAGCCCGUUAAUGGGUGAUGGCGUGCCUUUUGUAGAAUGAACCGGCGAGUUACGAUUUGAUGCAAGGUUAAGCAGUAAAUGUGGAGCCGUAGCGAAAGCGAGUCUGAAUAGGGCGUUUAGUAUUUGGUCGUAGACCCGAAACCAGGUGAUCUACCCUUGGUCAGGUUGAAGUUCAGGUAACACUGAAUGGAGGACCGAACCGACUUACGUUGAAAAGUGAGCGGAUGAACUGAGGGUAGCGGAGAAAUUCCAAUCGAACCUGGAGAUAGCUGGUUCUCUCCGAAAUAGCUUUAGGGCUAGCCUCAAGUGAUGAUUAUUGGAGGUAGAGCACUGUUUGGACGAGGGGCCCCUCUCGGGUUACCGAAUUCAGACAAACUCCGAAUGCCAAUUAAUUUAACUUGGGAGUCAGAACAUGGGUGAUAAGGUCCGUGUUCGAAAGGGAAACAGCCCAGACCACCAGCUAAGGUCCCAAAAUAUAUGUUAAGUGGAAAAGGAUGUGGCGUUGCCCAGACAACUAGGAUGUUGGCUUAGAAGCAGCCAUCAUUUAAAGAGUGCGUAAUAGCUCACUAGUCGAGUGACACUGCGCCGAAAAUGUACCGGGGCUAAACAUAUUACCGAAGCUGUGGAUUGUCCUUUGGACAAUGGUAGGAGAGCGUUCUAAGGGCGUUGAAGCAUGAUCGUAAGGACAUGUGGAGCGCUUAGAAGUGAGAAUGCCGGUGUGAGUAGCGAAAGACGGGUGAGAAUCCCGUCCACCGAUUGACUAAGGUUUCCAGAGGAAGGCUCGUCCGCUCUGGGUUAGUCGGGUCCUAAGCUGAGGCCGACAGGCGUAGGCGAUGGAUAACAGGUUGAUAUUCCUGUACCACCUAUAAUCGUUUUAAUCGAUGGGGGGACGCAGUAGGAUAGGCGAAGCGUGCGAUUGGAUUGCACGUCUAAGCAGUAAGGCUGAGUAUUAGGCAAAUCCGGUACUCGUUAAGGCUGAGCUGUGAUGGGGAGAAGACAUUGUGUCUUCGAGUCGUUGAUUUCACACUGCCGAGAAAAGCCUCUAGAUAGAAAAUAGGUGCCCGUACCGCAAACCGACACAGGUAGUCAAGAUGAGAAUUCUAAGGUGAGCGAGCGAACUCUCGUUAAGGAACUCGGCAAAAUGACCCCGUAACUUCGGGAGAAGGGGUGCUCUUUAGGGUUAACGCCCAGAAGAGCCGCAGUGAAUAGGCCCAAGCGACUGUUUAUCAAAAACACAGGUCUCUGCUAAACCGUAAGGUGAUGUAUAGGGGCUGACGCCUGCCCGGUGCUGGAAGGUUAAGAGGAGUGGUUAGCUUCUGCGAAGCUACGAAUCGAAGCCCCAGUAAACGGCGGCCGUAACUAUAACGGUCCUAAGGUAGCGAAAUUCCUUGUCGGGUAAGUUCCGACCCGCACGAAAGGCGUAACGAUUUGGGCACUGUCUCAACGAGAGACUCGGUGAAAUCAUAGUACCUGUGAAGAUGCAGGUUACCCGCGACAGGACGGAAAGACCCCGUGGAGCUUUACUGUAGCCUGAUAUUGAAAUUCGGCACAGCUUGUACAGGAUAGGUAGGAGCCUUUGAAACGUGAGCGCUAGCUUACGUGGAGGCGCUGGUGGGAUACUACCCUAGCUGUGUUGGCUUUCUAACCCGCACCACUUAUCGUGGUGGGAGACAGUGUCAGGCGGGCAGUUUGACUGGGGCGGUCGCCUCCUAAAAGGUAACGGAGGCGCUCAAAGGUUCCCUCAGAAUGGUUGGAAAUCAUUCAUAGAGUGUAAAGGCAUAAGGGAGCUUGACUGCGAGACCUACAAGUCGAGCAGGGUCGAAAGACGGACUUAGUGAUCCGGUGGUUCCGCAUGGAAGGGCCAUCGCUCAACGGAUAAAAGCUACCCCGGGGAUAACAGGCUUAUCUCCCCCAAGAGUUCACAUCGACGGGGAGGUUUGGCACCUCGAUGUCGGCUCAUCGCAUCCUGGGGCUGUAGUCGGUCCCAAGGGUUGGGCUGUUCGCCCAUUAAAGCGGUACGCGAGCUGGGUUCAGAACGUCGUGAGACAGUUCGGUCCCUAUCCGUCGUGGGCGUAGGAAAUUUGAGAGGAGCUGUCCUUAGUACGAGAGGACCGGGAUGGACAUACCUCUGGUGUACCAGUUGUCGUGCCAACGGCAUAGCUGGGUAGCUAUGUGUGGACGGGAUAAGUGCUGAAAGCAUCUAAGCAUGAAGCCCCCCUCAAGAUGAGAUUUCCCAACUUCGGUUAUAAGAUCCCUCAAAGAUGAUGAGGUUAAUAGGUUCGAGGUGGAAGCAUGGUGACAUGUGGAGCUGACGAAUACUAAUCGAUCGAAGACUUAAUCA
rnacentral:rRNA from 6 species